UACGGAGGAUGCAAGCGUUAUCCGGAAUCAUUGGGCGUAAAGCGUCCGCAGGUGGCAGUUCAAGUCUGCUGUCAAAGACUGGGGCUUAACCCUAGAAAGGCAGUGGAAACUGAACAGCUAGAGUGCGGUAGGGGUAGAGGGAAUUCCCGGUGUAGCGGUGAAAUGCGUAGAGAUCGGGAAGAACACCAGUGGCGAAAGCGCUCUGCUGGACCUGCACUGACACUCAGGGACGAAAGCUAGGGGAGCGAAUGGG
rnacentral:rRNA from 1 species